UAAUAGUUGCUAGAUAAAUCAUCUAUGACCC
rnacentral:piRNA from 1 species